CUAAAGUGAUAAAGAUUAAACAAACAAAUAUAAGUAAAUGAGUGAAAAUGACAGUCUUCAAUCACAAAAUACUGUCUCAAAUUUUUCACCAGGGCAUAAACCUAAUAACAAGAUCAUCAUAGAUAUUAAUCGAUUUCCGUUUUUUUUUUGGAAGUAACUCAAACACGUAAAAAAUAACAAACAAAGAUAAAGAAGACGAGAAAGACGCAGAGAAGUUCUAACCAAAAACCAAGUAAUUUAAACAAAUCAGCAAUUCACCCUUAACAACACUUUUUGCGUUUCAACAGAUAAAACACGAUUUCGUUCGCUAAAGUUCGGAUUCGUAUAUACUGGGAUUGGGAAAUUAGGAAAAGCUUUCUGAACAUGAAAUUGUGUAUAUUGCAUAUGUGGAAAAUUGUUGCUAUUGGCAAACUAACCAUCAACAUUA